GACAGAGGGUGCAAACGUUGUUCGGAAUUACUGGGCGUAAAGCGCGUGUAGGCGGCCAUGCAAGUCGGAUGUGAAAGCCCUCGGCUCAACCGGGGAAGUGCACUCGAAACUGCAAGGCUAGAGUCACGGAGAGGAUCGUGGAAUUCUCGGUGUAGAGGUGAAAUUCGUAGAUAUCGAGAGGAACACCGGUGGCGAAGGCGGCGAUCUGGACGAUGACUGACGCUGAGACGCGAAAGCGUGGGAGCAAACAGG
rnacentral:rRNA from 1 species